CAAAAUAUAAAACCAACAAAAAGGCUAAGGACAUGGGCCAAAGUUGGAGGUGCAGUGGUAAAAAGGGUGGUGCGUAUGAACAGACCCAUUUUGGACCUUAGGCCCAAACCUCAUGAGGUGAGCCGAAAUCCGCAUUUGCAUCCAAGAUUCAGCACAUGAACCUUCACCUUGCCGCAGCCCAAAACUCCAACGAAAUCCUUUCGUUCUUCAUCCUCACCUCUGAUGUUCAUGGCGAAAAACACGAUUAAACAGAAACAGAAAACAGAAUCCUAAACACCAACGCUGAGAUCCCUUUCAACUCAUUUUCAAUGGAUCGAAAAUGCAGAAUCUGAUACCGAAGACGAAAUGUAACCGGAUCGUACCUUGCGAUGGAUUGAAGAGAGAUAGAAGAAUAACUCAUCGGUGAGUGACUCUUCGGCGAUAACAGGUAUUAGAUUCUUUCCUCUUCUUUCUCCGUUUUCCUUCCUCUUCUUGCGUGUUGUUCUUCUUCUUCUAGGAAUGGCACGGUAUUGUUGCUGGCUAUCGAUACGUGAGUGCGUGUAUGAUUAGCUCAAAGAGCAUAGAAAAACCAGAGAAAUCGAGAGUGAUUGGUGAAGUUAUGAAGGGAUGAAGGAAUUGAAGGUACAUCGUGAAGAAGCUGAAUGAAAAAGGCUGGUGUCGUUUUUGGUUGCGAGUCGUUGCGUUUCCAAUUUGUGCCGUCGUUUUUCGUUUAUGCCGUCGUUUUGGCUUGUGUAUGUUGUGCGUAUUGUCGUUUGUAUCGGCGUGUGUAUGGUAUUUUAAUUUCGUUUUUUGGGCGUUUGUGUGUAUUGCAAGUACCACUUCUGCUCCUGUUAUGUACUGGUGUACUAAAAUGAACUGUACUUGUAUGGGUUGUAUUGAUGUUGUUGUACUGAUAUUUCAAAUUCCUUGCUUCA